CAUAUAUUGGGGUCUUAACAGACGUAGGCGCUGUUUUGUUAUGUACAGCAAUUCAAAUCGAUUGUUUAUCUAACGUUUGUUUACAAUUUUACUAGCUAGCCAUCAUAUGGCUUCCACUUUACUAUCACCGAUGGUAGAUUAUUACAAUGAUGAAGAAGAACUUGAUAGUGUGGACGAGGACGAUGAUCGAAGCUUCAGGGGAAUAGACUCGGAAGAAGACACUGAAGACGCCAGUGAAACUGACCUAGCGAAACACAACGAGGAUGACUAUGUGGAAAUUAAAGAACAGAUGUACAAAGACAAGUUGGCAUCAUUGAAAAGGCAGUUGACGCAACUCCAAGAAGGAACACUUCAGGAGUACCAGAAGAGAAUGAAGAAGCUGGACCAGCAAUAUAAAGAGAGACUACGCAAUGCUGAUCUCUUCCUCCAACUCGAGACAGAACAGGUGGAAAGGAACCACAUCAAAGAGAAAAAAGCGGCGGUGAAGGAGUUUGACGAUAAGAAGGUUGAGCUGAAGGAAAAUUUAAUUUCUGAGCUGGAGGAGAAGAAGAAGAUGAUAGAGAAUGAGAAAUUAACAAUGGAGUUGACCGGCGAUUCUAUGGAGGUGAAACCCAUCAUGACCCGGAAGUUGAGGAGGAGACCCAACGAUCCAGUCCCCAUUCCAGACAAACGAAGGAAACCUGCACCUGCUCAGUUAAACUAUUUGCUAACAGACGAACAGAUAAUGGAAGAUCUGCGAACACUGAACAAGCAGCUGAAGUCUCCCAAGCAUCCAGUGUCUCCGUCUUCUCCAGACCAUAUGCCCACCACUCCAGUAGAGGCCCCUUCACAGCGCUAUGAAGCCCGCAUCGAAGAAGGAAAGCUCUACUAUGACAAGAGAUGGACAAUGACCCAACACACCUCCAGGCUGUGUAAGGAAUAUUUGACCAAGGAGUGAUGGAGGGCAGCAUCAGAUGACGUGGCCUCCACAAUCACCCGACCUCAACCCAAUUGAGAUGAGUAGGACCGCAGAGUGGUGGAAAAGCAGCCAACAAGCUCUCAGCAUAUGUGGGUACUCCUUCAAGACUGUUGGAAAAGCAUUCCAGGUGAAGCUGAUUGUGAGAAUGCCUUGACAGCUUUGCACAUUCUUGGCAAAGGGUGGCUACUUUGAAGAAUAUUAAACAAAUCAAAAUAUAUUUUAUAUUUUAACACUUUUCUGGUUUCUACAUGAUUCCAUAUGUUUUUAUGACAUCACUACUAUUAUAUAAUGUAGAAAAUAGUAAUAAUAAAGGAAAAACCCUUGAAUGAGUAGGUGUCCAAACGUUUGUCUGGUACUGUAUGACAUUCUUACCUGAAUGGACUGAUCCCUGCUCUUACCCCCUCACUCAAUGUCAGUCGAUUAAACAUUAGAGGAACUACAUUUAAAUAUUUUGCCUUUUUAAUUUAAAUGUCCGUUUUUUUAAGGACACUGCUUAGAAAUGUCUGAAAUGGCUGACUACAAGGUAAGAUAAUGAUCAUACUUUCAUUUCCAGCAUGGGUGUUUAAUUGCUACUGGUUGUUUUUUUGGCUCAUGUAGUUUUGUUCUUGUCUUGACCCUGUCAGGUACCAUAAGGGCCAAGCCAUCUACCUGGAGUCAAAGGAGAAUACCAAGAUCAGCUGUGUCAUCAGCUCUGUGGGAACAAAUGAGAUCUGGGUGAGGAAGACCAGUGACAGCACAAAGAUGAGGAUCUACCUGGGACAACUGCAGAGAGGAGCGUUUGUCAUCCGACGGCGGUCGGCGGCAUAGAACACAUGCCCCUUCCUUCUGUUUCUCCAUCCAUCUCUAUAGCAUCUCCCUCAUUCUGUUUCUUUUUCUUAGUAAAGUAUGUGGCUUCCUUCAUGUUGAUCCCCCUGCCCUACUGUGUGCCUGAGGAAGUUUCCUCAAUGACUUCCUGAAGUUUCAACUAGGGAUGCACCGAUAUAAAAUUUUUGCCCAAUAUUGAUAUUUUCCUUGCCAAAUAAAACGAUACCCGAUAUUUAA